rnacentral:rRNA from 1 species
ACGGAGGAUCCAAGCGUUAUCCGGAAUCAUUGGGUUUAAAGGGUCCGUAGGCGGUUUAAUAAGUCAGUGGUGAAAGCCCAUCGCUCAACGGUGGAACGGCCAUUGAUACUGUUAAACUUGAAUUAUUAGGAAGUAACUAGAAUAUGUAGUGUAGCGGUGAAAUGCUUAGAGAUUACAUGGAAUACCAAUUGCGAAGGCAGGUUACUACUAAUGGAUUGACGCUGAUGGACGAAAGCGUGGGUAGCGAACAGGAUUAGAUACCCUGGUAGUCCACGCCGUAAACGAUGGAUACUAGCUGUUGGGAGCAAUCUCAGUGGCUAAGCGAAAGUGAUAAGUAUCCCACCUGGGGAGUACGAACGCAAGUUUG